rnacentral:rRNA from 1 species
GUAAGCAGUACGCCGGGGGUAAUGGUAAAAUAUGUUAAUCCUCGGUGGACUAACAAUGAGCGAAGGCAGCUUACGAGGACGAAUCUGACAGUGAGGGAUGAAGGCCAGGGGCGCAAAACGGAUUAGAUACCCGUGUAGUCCUAGCAGUAAACACUGCUCACUAAACAUCGGUACCUCUUCGAGAGGUAUCGGUGCUGUAGGGAAGCCGAAGAGUGUGCUACCUGGGAAGUAUAGUCGCAAGGCUGAAACUUAAAGGAAUUGGCGGGGAGACACUACAAUGGGUGACGCGUGCGGUUCAAUUAGAUUAUACACCGUGAACCUCACCAGGAGCGACAGCAGAAUGAAGGUCAGUCUGAAGGGCUUACCUGACACGCUGAGAGGAGUUGCAUGGCCGACGUCAGCCUGUGUCGUGAGAUGACCUGUUAAAUCAGGUAACAGGCAAGACCCACAUGUCUAUUUGUUAUUACUAUAGACAGAUUGCCUUGGUAACAAGGAUGAAAGCGUGGGCUACGUUAGGUGAGUACGGCCCGAACCCCCUGGGCGACACGCGCGCGUCAAUGGUGAAUA